rnacentral:rRNA from 1 species
CCCCAGGUCAAGCGAGAUUACCCACUAAGUUUAAGCAUAUCAAUAAGCAGAGUAGAAGAAACUUACAAGGAUUCCCCUAGUAACGACGAGCAAACCGGGAUCAGCCCAGCUUGAGAAUCGUACGACUUUGUCGUCUAAAUUGUAGUCUGUAGAAGCGUCCUCAGCGACGGACCGGUCCCAAAUCCAUUUGGAGGGGGCGCCAGAGAGGGUGAAAGCCUCACCAUAUCCAGACCCCGUCGCACCAUGAGGCGUUGUCGGCGAGUCGGGUUGUUUGGGAAUGUAGCCCUAAUUGGGCAGUAAAUUUCGUCCAAUGCUAAAUAUUGGCGAGAGACCAAUAGCGAACAAAUACCGCAAGGGAAAUAUGAAAAGGACUUUGAAAGGACAGUCAAAGAGUGCUUGAAAUUGUCAGGAGGGAAGUGGAUGAGAGCUGGCGAUGUGCCUAGGUCGGAUGCGGAACGAUGUGAGCUAGUUCAUUGCUGACUUUAGAUGUGGACCGAUGCAGAUUAUGAUGGUGGCCAAAUCCCAAGUAGUUUACGUGCUUGUGGAUACAUCAUCAUCAUGAUUGUGGUGGGCAGCGUGCGCCUUCGACGUGCAUAUGGCAACUGUGCGCUACCGACAUCGGCCUGUGGGCUUUCCAUUCGGCUCGUCUUGAAACACGGACCAAGGACUCUUACAUGUGUGCGAGCCAACGAGUAAGUAAACUCUUAAGGCGCAAGGAAUCUGAUUGGUGGGAUCCCAUUGUACCACCGACCGACCUAGACCUUUUGAAAAGGGUUUGAGUGUAAGCAUACCUGUCAAGACCCGAAAGAUUGUGAACUAUGCUUGAGCGGGGCGAAGCCAUAGAAUAGGGGCAAAAGACUAAUCAAACCAUCUAGUAGUUGGUUCCCUCUGAAGUUUCCCUCCGGAUAGCUGAAGCUCGAGCGCGAGUUCUAUUGGGUAAAACCAAUGAUUAGAGACAUUGGGAGCGCAACGCCCUCUACCUAUUCUCAAACUUUAAAUAGGUAGGACGGUGCGGCAGUUUUGUUGAGUCGUACCAUGGAAUCGAGAGCUCCAAGUAGGCCAUUUUUGGUAAGCAGAACUGGUGAUGCGGGAUGAACCGAAAGCUAUGUUACGGGCCCAACUAUGCACUAACCUAGAACACACAAAGGGUGUUGGUUGAUUAAGACAACAGGACGGUGGUCAUGGAAGUCAAAAUCCUAAGGAGUGUGUAACAUCUCACCUACUGAAUCAACUAGCCUAAAAAAUUGAUGAAGACAAACGCGUGAUCCACAGUAAACCAUUGGGGCAAUUGUCGGGCCCUGAUGAGUAGGAGGGUGCAGCGGUAGCUGCAAAACCUGGGGCGUGAGCUUCCAUCGGUGCAGAUCUUGGUAGUAGUAGCAAAUAUUCAAAUGAGAACUUUGAAUACCAAAGAGGGGAAAGGUUCCAUUUGAAUGACACUUGCACAUGGGUUAGUCGAUCCUAAAAAUGGGGGUAACCCUGUCAAAGGGCGCAAACUGUACAAACUUUGUAAGGGAAUCGAGUUAAAAUUCUUGAACCGGUACGCGACGGUUGAUGGCAACGUUAGGAAGUCUAGAGACGAUGGCAGGGGCCUCGGGAAGAAUUAUCUUUUCUGUUUAACAACUUGCCCACCCUAGAAACGGCUCAACUGAAGGUAGGGUCCAGUAGCUGGAAGAGCAUAGCAUGUCGCAUGGUGUCUAGUGCGUCCUCGGUGGCCCUUGAAUAUCCAAAGGACCGAGUGCCGAUCGCGCCCUGUCAUACUCAUAAUCGCAUCAAGUCUCCAAGGUGAACAACCUCUGGUUGAUGGAACAAUGUAGGCAAGGGAAGUCAGCAAAAUGGAUCCUAACCAUGGGAAAAGGAUUGGCUCGGGGGUCUUUGUCCCAAACCCGUCGGUUAUUGGUGAACUGCUCGAGCUGCUUCCGCGGUGAGAGAGGGUCAUUGCGUGUCGACUGGGGGAUGGACUAGGAAUGGUCCCUUUGGGGGCCUUCCCCGUGUGUUGAACAAUCGACUCAGAACUUGUACGGACAACAAAAAUCAGACUGUUUAAUUAAAACAAAAGAUUGCGAUGGUCCUUACAGAUGCUAACGCAAUGUGAUUUCUACCUAGUGCUUUGAAUGUCAAAGUUAAGAAAUUCAACCAAGCGCGGGUAAAUUGCGGGAGUAACUAUGACUCGCUUAAGGUAGCCAAAUGCUUCGUCAUCUAAUUAGUGACGCGAUUGAAUGGAUUAACGAGAUUCCCACUGUCCGUGUCUACUAUCAGGUAAAACCAUAGCCAAGGGAACGAGCUUGGCAGAAUCAGAGGGGAAAAAUAACCCUGUUGAGCUUGACUCUAGUCCGACUUUGUGAAACAACUUGAGAGGUGUAGGAUAAGUGGGAGGCGCUUUCGACGAAAGUGAAAUACCACUACUUUUAACGUUAUUUUACUUAUUUCGUGAGUCGAAAGUGGGUCACUGUCCCUCUUUUUGGAUCCAAGGGUUGUCUCGGCGGCCCGAUCAUGGGGGAAGACAUUGUCAGAUGGGGAAUUUGGCUGGGGCGGCACAUCUGUUAAAAGAUAACGCAUGUGUCCCAAGAUGAGCUCAACGAGAAUACAAAUCUCGUGUGGAACAGAAGGGAAAAAGCUCGUUUGAUUCUGAUUUCUAGUACGAAUUUGAACCGUGAAAGCGUGGCCUAUCAAUCCUUUAGAACUUCGGAAUUUGAAGCUAGAGGUGUCAGGAAAGUUACCAUAGGGAUAAUUGGCUUGUGGCAGCCAACCGUUCAUAGCUAUAUUGCUUUUAGAUCCUUCCAUGUCGGCUCUUCCUAUCAUUGUGAAGCAAAAGUCACCAAGUGUUGGAUUGUUCACCCACCAAUAGGGAAUGUGAGCUGGGUUUAGACCGUCGUGAGAUAGGUUAGUUUUACCCUACUGAUGGUAGUGUCGCGAUAGUAAUUCAACUUACUAAGAAAGGAACCGUUGAUUCACACAAUCGGUCAUCGCACUUGGUUGAAAAGCUAGUGGCGCGAAGCUACCGUGUGUAGGAUUAUGAUUGAACACCUCUAAGACAGAAUCCAGGCUAGAGAAGUGGCGCAUACUCUCGUCGCUCGAUUGU